AAUAGGAUGCCUGAACGAAAAAGGAUUAUCUUGAUAGGAUAAAUCAUGUAAACGAAAAUUACUCCUAUUA
rnacentral:tRNA from 1 species